rnacentral:rRNA from 1 species
GGGUUCUAUUCCCUUAAACCGUGUCUACAUACCUUUGUUGCUUUGGCAGGCCGCCCUCGGGCGUCGGCUCCGGCUGAUAGUGCCUGCCAGAGGACCCAAACUCUAUGUUUAGUGAUGUCUGAGUACUAUAUAAUAUUUAAAACUUUCAACAACGGAUCUCUUGGUUCUGGCAUCGAUGAAGAACGCAGCGAAAUGCGAUAAGUAAUGUGAAUUGCAGAAUUCAGUGAAUCAUCGAAUCUUUGAACGCACAUUGCGCCCCUUGGUAUUCCGAGGGGCAUGCCUGUUCGAGCGUCAUUAUAACCACUCAAGCCUAGCUUGGUAUUGGGGUUCGCGUGUUCGCGGCCCUUAAAAUCAGUGGCGGUGCCGUCUGGCUCUAAGCGUAGUAAUUUCUCUCGCUAUAGGGUUCCGGUGGUUACUUGCCAAAACCCCCCAUUUUUCUAGGUUGACCUCGGAUCAGGUAGGGAUACCCGCUGAACUUAAGCAUAUCAAUAAGCGGAGGAAAAGAAACCAACAGGGAUUGCCUCAGUAACGGCGAGUGAAGCGGCAACAGCUCAAAUUUGAAAUCUGGCUCUUUCAGGGUCCGAGUUGUAAUUUGUAGAAGAUGCUUUGGGUGUGGCUCCGGUCUAAGUUCCUUGGAACAGGACGUCAUAGAGGGUGAGAAUCCCGUACGUGACUGGUUGCCUCCGCCCGUGUAAAGCUCUUUCGACGAGUCGAGUUGUUUGGGAAUGCAGCUCAAAAUGGGUGGUAAAUUUCAUCUAAAGCUNAAUAUUGGCCAGAGACCGAUAGCGCACAAGUAGAGUGAUCGAAAGAUGAAAAGCACUUUGGAAAGAGAGUUAAACAGUACGUGAANNUGUUGNAAGGGAAGCGCUUGCAACCAGACUU